GGCAUGGGAAGGCACGCAGUAUGGAGUAAAGAAGUAAAUUGUUUGAAAUGAAUGCUGACAUAUAUUGCAAUCUACUACAAAAACUUGACUCCUGGGAGGCAUCCAAUCUGAUCCUAGGUGGAGAUGCAAACGUGAUCUGGGAUACAACUAUGGACAAAACAGGUUGUGAGCUCCACAACGUCGGGGAAAGAAUAUUCCCUAAGGUUGGGGCCUUUCGUGCUACUACUCUACAGCCAUCAUGCAGCAAUGUAGCUAAGUCCGGGUCGUUGUAUAAUACAGGAAUAAGAGUAUUAACAAUGUGUUUAAUCCUGUAAAAUUGAUUGCUAAAACUAGUAACAAAAAUUGGAGUUAUUCUCUCUACUCUAGUAACCUUUGAAUUUGUUUGAUCAUUUUCAUUGUUCUCUUCAAUAAAGUCCCUGUUAUUAACCGA